rnacentral:pre_miRNA from 1 species
AAUGUACUUCCUCCAUUCCAUAAUUCUUGUCUCAAAUUUGCCCAAAUAUGGAUGUAUCUAUUCAUAAAAUGUGUCUAGAUACAUUUAAUAUUUCAACAAGAAUUAUGGAACGGAGGGAGUACCAA